UGCGAAGUGGCGGAAACUGGUAGACGCACCGGCAUGAGAGGCCGGCGCCCUUCGGGGCGUGAGGGUUCGAGUCCCUUCUUCGCGA
rnacentral:tRNA from 2 species